UACGUAGGGUGCGAGCGUUAAUCGGAAUUACUGGGCGUAAAGCGUGCGCAGGCGGUGAUGUAAGACCGAUGUGAAAUCCCCGGGCUUAACCUGGGGACUGCAUUGGUGACUGCAUCGCUCGAGUAUGGCAGAGGGGGGUAGAAUUCCACGUGUAGCAGUGAAAUGCGUAGAGAUGUGGAGGAAUACCGAUGGCGAAGGCAGCCCCCUGGGUCAAUACUGACGCUCAUGCACGAAAGCGUGGGGAGCAAACAGG
rnacentral:rRNA from 1 species